GACGAACGCUGGCGGCGCGCUUAACACAUGCAAGUCGAGCGAGAACCAGGGCUUCGGCCCUGGGGACAGCGGCGAACGGGUGAGUAACACGUGGGUAAUCUGCCCUCGGCACCGGAAUAGCCCGGGGAAACCCGGAUUAAUGCCGGAUGGCCCCUUCACCUCGCGAGGUGUCGGGAAAAGGUAGCUUCGGCCUCUGGCCGAGGAUGAGCCCGCGGCGGAUUAGCUUGUUGGCGGGGUAACGGCCCACCAAGGCGACGAUCCGUAGCUGGUCUGAGAGGACGAUCAGCCACACUGGGACUGAGACACGGCCCAGACUCCUACGGGAGGCAGCAGUGGGGAAUCCUGCGCAAUGGGCGAAAGCCUGACGCAGCGACGCCGCGUGAGGGAAGACGGCCUUCGGGUUGUAAACCUCUUUCAGGAGGGACGAAGCUACUCGGGUGAAUAGCCCAGAGGGUGACGGUACCUCCAGAAGAAGCCCCGGCUAACUACGUGCCAGCCGCCGCAGUAAUAC
rnacentral:rRNA from 1 species